CACCACUGAAGGAACACUGCAGAUCGUUUUCUAAAACACUCAUGAUGCCAGCUCUACCAAACAUGUUCUUUCCGGGAGUCGGUAUGGAGAAUCUUAAUGGAAACUGGAGUGAGCACCAGAUUCCUCGCCUGUCCGUUGAAGAGACUCAGCCUCACACCGGGCCCAUUGUUAUUAACUACAGAUAAUAGAAAACAUAGCCCCUUUGUUUUUUUGGCCGUCAAGACCUGCUCCAACACCCAGCAGCAGGACCUAAACCCUUAACGUGUUAGCUGGGUCCAGCAGUGUAUGCGCUUCAUGUGUCCAUAGCUAGGUAGUGACUGUGAGUGAGUGCACUGUGCUUACACUUUCACAGUCGUUAACCUUGAACUUGUGCUAACUAAACCAGUAAAGAAGAAAGGAGUCUGCUGAUGCUGUGGCUAUUCCCGACAUGGAGUCAGCAAACCUAUUUUAAAGCCAUGGUUAGCAUUGACUUUUACUUACUGUCAACUACAAAGAACAAACAACUCAGGGACCAGAAUCAGCAUUCACUGUAAUGGACCGGACUCAGCAUUCACUGCAAUGGACCUGACUCAACAUUCACUGCAAGGGACCGGACUCAAAAUUCACUGCAAGGGACCGGAAUCAGCAUUCACUGCAAGGGACCGGACUCAGAAUUCACUGCAAGGGACCGGAGUCAGCAUUCACUGCAAGGGACCGGACUCAGAAUUCACUGCAAGGGACCGGAAUCAGCAUUCACUGCAAGGGACCGGACUCAGCAUUCACUGCAAGGGACCGGACAGAGCAUUCACUGCAAGGGACCGGACUCAGAAUUCACUGCAAGGGACCGGACUCAGCAUUCACUGCAAGGGACCGGACUCAGCAUUCACUAGCAACGUGUUUUAACUGGAUUUCAAACGAUGAGUUUCAAAGCACUUUGAUAUUAUCCUGUACAUAAUUUUAUGCACUGUGUUAAAUUGUAUAUUUGUGGAAAAACGUUUACAGAUGAAUUCCAUUUAAACGGAGUUUAUUCAACCAGGUGCUUCGCUCAGGUGCACUGACUGCGCCAGUAACCAAGGUGACUGCUGCCCAACCCACUAUCGGCGAGGUAGAGACUUAAGCAAUGUUGACUGCGCCGCCCUCAUACAGGGAUACACGCCCACCUGUGCAAAUAUAAUACAGUAUGCUAUGCCGAGAUCUGUGACUUUACAAAUUCGGUGAAUCAGAUGAAAAUUCGACAAUACCAGAGCCCAGAGGCGCUCAUGACUCGCUAAGGUGCUAGGAGUUUGACAAGCAGAGCAGCGCUUGGGUCUGACAUAGGUGCUAUAUUUAUUUUGUAUAUUUUGUAAAUGAGUAAUAUAUAUAUAUUUAAAAUAACUUGCUGUAUGUUUAGGUUACAGUGCAUGCUGCACAGAAAUGUUUUAUACAAAAUCCAGACGCUGCACGGUGUGUUUGUAUUACAUUCCCUACUGCGGCUGGACCUGCAGGAGCGCCGUGGAGAAACCUCUAUCAUUUUCAUCCUUUUUUAAUUCGUCUGUUUAUUAAUCUGGAAAUCAGAAAAAUAAAUGGAACAAGUA